CCAACUGAAUUUCCAAUUUAACCAACUCAUUCAUCACCAAUUGUAUCCUUUCAUAGUCUUCAUUAAGAUUAUCCAUCUGAGCCGAGUCAUUCAACGUCACUCGUUUCUCUUCUUCUUCGCCAUAUUCAACAUCGUCUUCAUCACCGUAAAGGUUAUAUAUAACACGCUGCCAUGUGAAAGCCUUUACGAGUUCUCUGGCCUUUGCAUAUAGAACGGAGAUUUCAGUCAACAAUCUGUUAUCGUGCUUCAUCAUGAAUUCAGGAUCAACAACCAGCGAUUUCUAUGACUUGCAAACGCACCUUAAUUGGAGAGUAUUGUUCAAAUCAUCUCUAGAAAGGAUGUCAAUCAUCAGUUCCUUUGGGAGUACCGUGAACGGUGACUCUGCCGUCGCUCCCGCCAUCAUGCGUCGUUGCCUCCGGGUCAUCACCGCCAUUGUUAAGGUUUCGGUUUCUUGGAAUAUUAGGGUUGGAAUUUGACACACUAUGGUUCUAUAUAAACAUUUUAUAUCCCCUUUUAAAAUCUAAUUGAACCAAAUCAUAAUUAUAAUAGUAUUUUUUAUUUUAUUUUUUAAGAAUAGGAGUAUUUUAAAUCCCGUAAAAAAAGUAUUUUAAAUCUCCAUUUAAAAAAAUUAUAAUUAAGGACCCAUUUGUUAUAUUUUUUAAAAACCGAUUUUCCUAGUGCAAUAUGUUUUUAUUAUAAUUUUUGUAACAGAGAAAUAUUUAGUAAAAGUUUCAAAUGAAAAAUUUGUUUGAACAACAUAUCUUAAAAUGUCAUUUUAAGUAUUUCAUCUUUUUGUUAUAAUUUUUUAUACUAAAUUUUUUGAAAAAAAAAAUCUCUAAAAAAAGCUAUUUCAAAUAGUUUUUCUUAAAAAUCAUUUUUAAAAGAUGUCAUUUUGAAAAAGUAUGUGAUUUUUAUUAUGUAAAAUCUCGAACAAUGAAUAUAUAAGUUAAUGAAUGUCAAAGUAUCUUUUUAAACUUAUAUCAAAUGAGUUUAAAAUAACAUCUACUAUUUUUGAGUAAAUUUCAAAAAAUCCAUUUUUA
rnacentral:lncRNA from 1 species